CUCAAGUCUCUUUCCUGAUGAUGAAGUGAAAUUUGAAGAAAUGGCUUCAAUGUGGAGUCUUCCGGAGGAGAUUCAGGUAUGUGAACGGAUGUAUGGGUGAUGCGGAGUAAGAGAAUCUUCGGCUCAAGCAUUUACCACUGCCCAGCUAAGAAUGACCAGAGAUUAAUCUUUCAAGCCAACAUGGUCUUUCGAAAAUGGUGACAUUCUCGAACAAUUGAUCUUAUGCGAUCAAAGUAAAUGGAGAAACUAGAAAGGCAUCUUCACUCUUCCUCCUUCCAUUCACAUCUCUUGGUUUCACUAUCAAUUUUUGGUAGCCGUAGGGGGAUACAGUGGGCGAGUAAUAACUGCAUGCUGCCUAUUGUGGUGUCCAACACUGUUGAACAAGAGGGAGGCAUUGUCAUAAAUUGAAGUCUAAGCACUCCAUACAUCCCUUUUAUGUCCACUUUAAGCCUGUGUGGUACUGUCUACAAUACUUCGAAAUAGAACGAUGUUAACCGUCUGCAGUUUCCAGUAGAGCAGUUGUAUGUGGUCUACAUAUUCUGACUACUUGCGACAAAGUAUUAUGCAGAACUUUCUUGCAUUAGGAGGACGUGCUAUUUGUGCAAUACUCCAAAAGAGCAUGAGUUAGAUGCAGAACUUUCUUGCGUUAGGAGGACGUGCUCUUUGUGCAAUUAAUACACCAAAAUAUGAUAUUGUCCAAGUAACACAUCAGCUAAUGUGAUUCUUAUAGCAUCAUUGUAGUUACAUGUGCCCUUAUAACUGAAACUAACAAGUCCAUCACGGAAUGGCACAUGUCUUUUGUUUCAAAAUUGUUUAUAUAGAAAAGCUGUUUACGGAUAUAUCUGGUAUAUGACUUCCAGAUUGGUCCCACAUAAUGCUAGUGAACUCGUCUUGUGUAAACCCUUUGUCUGCUUUCUCAGUCUCUAACACUUGGUUUGGUACUUCCUUCCUCGCUAAACUUUUAGCAAUGGAGCACAUAAGGUUUGGUGUUGGUGGAAAUGAUGCUGCAAGCCUGAUUCUCCCUACAAGAUGAAGCAAACAGCUGGGUUUAGCUUUCCAGAAAAGGUUCUGAUGCAGAUCUUUGUAAGGGUACCUGGGAAAUCUAUCUUAAUUUGUUCCUCUUUUGAUGUGUGGGUGAUGCAAGAUUAUUGAGUAAGAGAAUCUAGGGCUAAACAUUUCACCUUUACUGAUGACCAAAGGUGUACUUCCCUGAUACUGCUAUGAGAAGGAAUGAAGAGGGUUUACCGGAGAAUAUAGGGAGUUAUGUGGAAAUCCUAGUCCGGCUCUAAUCUGUCUGGUACUUAUGUGGCGAAAAAAAAUGGAAAUUCAAAUAUGGGGAAGUCCAGCUAGGCGAUAAAUAUUGAGCAACGGAAUGUAUUCACAUAAUGCGGUGAAGACAGGAGAUGAACACCUGAAAUUUAAACUGCGUGUAAGAGGCAGUGGUUUAACGAUGGUCCAGGAACAAGGCUGUGCAAACGAAGAACUUGUCAGUAAAAUAAAGUGGCAAAAAGAAAAACUCAGAAUAUCUUUCUGCAGCAUUUUAUUUAACUAGAUUUUCAAUAUAAUCUUAUUUCAACUUGUUAGUGGUAUAUGUUUCCUGUAAGCUUCUUUGCUUGUUUCGAGUCUGAAACAGCU